rnacentral:rRNA from 1 species
UACGGAGGGUGCAAGCGUUGCUCGGAAUCAUUGGGCGUAAAGCGCACGUAGGCGGCCUGUUAAGUCGGGUGUGAAAGCCCUGGGCUCAACCCAGGAAGUGCACUCGAAACUGUCAGGCUUGAAUAUGGAAGAGGGUCGCGGAAUUCCCGGUGUAGAGGUGAAAUUCGUAGAUAUCGGGAGGAACACCAGUGGCGAAGGCGGCGACCUGGGCCAAUAUUGACGCUGAGGUGCGAAAGCGUGGGGAGCAAACAGG